GUGGCAUGGUACUAUUUCUGCCCUACUGGACUACAGGUAAGUGGUAACAUGAUCUGAUAACUAGCAGUUCCCAACAUCCUGUUUUGUGUGUGUGCAUGUUUUCGGAGGGGUGUCUGUGCAUGACCUAUUUUGGGUAGUUUAUGCCCAUAGAUUAAUAUACUUACAUUAUUUUGGGCUUUGCCUUCCACAUGCGUAAAAAUGCUACCAUUAGUAUUUUGACAUUACUAGUUUGAGCUGCUCUAGUGCUGUCAGGUCCACCUGCUUAUCAAUGACGGGUCUUUCUUAUAGAAAGGACUACCCACAUGAGUAGUUACAGACAGAUAAUUGACAACUACCAUACAAUUUAAAAUUCUAAGGAUGGUGAUCAACAACUUAAGUUUAUUUACUGAUGAAUACCUUUUCUGGAGUCGUACCACUGUUAUAAUUGCACCUGUCCCCUACUAACCUCUCCACCCUAACACACACACACACACACACACACACACACACACACCUAUUCUCAGGAAUCAGAGGUCGCAGCUGUACAGGAGACCCAGUGGACCCAAGAAUAAUUGUGAUGCAAUAUUGGGAAACCAAGUCUACUUAUGUGAACCACAUAUAGCAUUACAGAAUCCUAAAAUACAAGUUUGCAAAUCUAAAAUGAGGGAAAUGAUUAUAGUAUAUUUGAUUGAAAUAGAUAUGACAGUAUUUUUUAACCCAAUUUAAGUAAGCUAUAAGAAAUCUGGUUCAAUAAUAAGCUGUUCACUCACGACUGAGCAUCUUCCCCCCUGCACAGCGUCAUGCUGGACUGAAUACACUCUCCUCCUCCCUGUGCACUCAGGGAAAUACAUGCGUACAUAAAGUACAUGUGUAUUGCAAAAAUAUAAAUUGUAAUCUUUGAAAUGUUAGCAAUUAAUUCUGGAGUAUACCUGUAUUUCAGAAGGAGCGGAAAAACCCUGACGUUUACAAGCCUAAUGUUACAGAAUGUGAAACGCAGAAUAUGAAAUGAUUCGGGAUAAAAAUGGGAACUAACAUCAAGGUAUUUUAAUCUUAACUAAAAACAGGUGUUUUUUUUCCCUCAAAGCCAACCACCGCAAAACUCAACCGUGUGUUAUCAGAUAGCUUAUCACAGCCAUCUGAUGCCACAAAGAGGGCAGAUGGAAAGCUAGCGAAGCUAUCUUGCUCCCUAAGACAAAAGGGAAAGUAAUGGCUUAGCUAUUGUCAAUAGCACUUAGUGUGUGGAACGUUAGCUCACAGCACUUUCAACUGCUGAUCGACGUUGUUGAUUUUGUAUGACCAACAAGAUUUGAACCACCCGAAACACAAACUUGCAAUAUCACCGUAACAUUAGCUUAAAAAUGGGAUACCAGCAGGCAUUGUCAGAAGGCAACGCUGGCGUUAGCAACCUAGCAACAACAGACACCUGCUCCUGCUCCAGCUGACCAGCUAGCAUCAGUGACUAGCCCAGACCUAUGCUACUACUCAGCAAGGAAAUAGCUGUUUGUGAGGUGGCCACCCCAUUGGGAUUAUUGACUGCUGGAGCGAGGCUGUCACCAAAGGCAUCAACUUGCAUCAUGUGACUCGAACUGGUCUGUGCUGUGAUCCCACCAUAUUGUGGAGGAGAAUACAGCAUCUUCAUCUGCCCUGAGAGCUCCACUACACGAAUGAUUACACAGAACACAGACCCAUCCACAGUUUCAGCCCCAUAGCAACAGAGAAGGCUUCAACUAAUAACUCUGCACAUGGAGUAACUUCAACUAUCUACCUGUAACUCUGCGGAUGAGGAAGAAGGAUACCCCUAAAGCCUGACGGGAGAGACGGAGGUCCUGUGAGCACUCAGCAGGAAUAUGGGAUGUCUGACAUGUGCUGUGCUGAGAAACAUAUCCCUCGACAAAGGAAUAAGUGUAUAUGUGGUAACAAGACAGAGAGUCUACAGACAUGCUGGCGGCUCUGGGAGACUGUACUUAGGCAUAGUGGUGUUUUGAGCUCAGAGCUAACAUCAGCAUGUUAACAUGUACACUGUAGAUUUUUAGCAGGGAUAAUAUUUACCAUGACCACCAUCCAAGGGUAGCAUGUUAGCAUUCUAACAUUUGCUAGGUAGCGCAAAAAGUUUUGCAGAUAUUUUGGUCACAAACCAAAGGAAUCAAUAGUUUAGAAUUUAGGCUUGAUAAUGGAAGUGAAGGAAAAGACAGGGAAUCAACAGAGUUAUUAUAAUUCAUCCUGUGCAGGAUAUGAGGGUUUAUACCAAAUGUCAUGCCAAUCCAUCCAAUGCUUGUUGAGACAUGCCACUAAAACCAGAGAUGUCAGCCUCCUUUUCCACCAAUCUAUCAAGUUGGUAUUUCACGAGGUAAGUGACAUCUCUGACCUGCCUGUGGCCCUGGAUGAAAAAAUAAGGGGGUCACUAAAGUCAGUAGGGUUUAUCCUCUAAGGAGCAUGAAUAUCUGUAGAAAAUGUUAUGGCAAUCUUUUUGUUCUGGUAUUUCAGUCUGUGAUGACUCCUGUGGCUAAAAGCAGAGAAGCUAAAUUAGAGAAGAUUCACACAGAGAAGCACUUUCACUAAUGUCUCCCACUUGAACCACUCUGAUGAAAGUCAGUAAAUGUUAGUAGGAGUAUGUCAGUAAGAUAUGAGCUAUCUCCCUAGCCUCUGACUGGGACCUAGCUAUUUUGAUCCCUGCAGAUCAUCUCAUUGGCUACCACAAUACAUCUUCCCACCCUCCACCCCAAAGUCCACAUUUUUACCUGUUCUUAAACAAGUCUUGCACAAAUGUGACAUGGAACAUUGAGCUUUUUCACACAUGAUAUAAGCCCAAUCUGAACUGGGGGUUUUCACACUUUUUACAUUUUCUGAAAAAUAAAUAAAUAAAUAAAAUAAAUUUGAAAUACGUACACUUUGUAUCUAUCUUCCAUGGUUCCUUUCCAUUUAAGCAAGCAACUAAGUGACUCAGACACUGAGUCAUGCGUAAAUAAAACAUAGUUAUAAAGCAUGCAGAUAAAGUUCAGAGGUUCAGU